rnacentral:lncRNA from 1 species
AGAAGGCUAAGAUCGCCGAUGGCGCCGUCGAGAGCCCGUGGCCCUUCUACCCCCGUCUCGACGCCCUGAUCGGUGACUCCUUCCCCGCCAAGAAACCUCUGCCGUCGCACCCGCCGUCGCCUCCUCUUGCUCUCCCUCUCCCCUUNNNNNNNNNNNNNNNNNNNNGCCGUCGCACCCGCCGUCGCCUCCUCUUGCUCUCCCUCUCCCCUUCCACCGCAAGGGAUCCCCCCUCCCGGCGGCUGCGGCCGCCGCAGCCGCUGCCGCCGCCGCAGCGCGCCCUCUGGACUCGAAGGAAAAGCGCCCAGCGGCCACCGCGCUCCCCGUGGAUGACGCCUUCUUCCGGCGGAACUACUCCGCGGCGGCCGCGGCCGCCGCGGAGAGGGAGUCCGAGUCCUCUUCGAGAUCCAGUGUGGAGAGGUCCAGGUCGAGCAGGGAAAGGAUUGCGAGGGGGUUGAAAAGGAGAAGGGAAGGCUACGGAGAGGGUUUCCGGCAGCUGGCGAGGGCGAUCCUAAGGCUGGGGGAGAUCUACGAGAAGAUAGAAGAGGAGAAGCAGCAGCAGAUGAUCGAUCUUGAGAAGCAGCGGAUGGAAUUUGCUAAGGGGCUGGAGUUCCAAAGGAUGCAGAUCUUUGUGGAUUCCCAGGUCCAGCUGGAGAAGAUCAAGCGAUCCAAGCGAGUUGAUGCUGGUGAGCAUGGGUCUUCUUCCGGUGCUAUUCAUUUUCUUUUCGGAUCUCCCGUGUUUAAUGUGUAAAAGGUUGGUCCUUUCGUAAGAUAGAUUCAUGGUUUGAUUUUGUGCAGUGUAGCGAAAGCAGCUUUAUUUGUCUGGAUCUAUUUCUUUUCUAUUUUCUAUAAGUAAUUUGUUUUUGGCGUGUUAGACUUCUGUUUAUGGAUUUGAGUCGUCGUCUGAUGGAAACGUAGUUCUGGAACCGCUGGAACUGUUUUGAAUUUAUUGUCGUGUAUUUCUUUUUGUAAACAUUUCGAUGGGGUCUGAAUUCCUGAAUGGAGUUGCUUUUGCCCUUUCUUUUGGGGCAGAACAAGUGACACGUUGAUCUUUAGCACGUUGUUUCCAGGAAUACAUAUGCUAUUUGACUUAUUUUAUCGGUAUAUGAUACUGGGAAGUAUUCAAUGAUUAGGAUCUUGUUGUAAUUGAACCCACAGAAGGGUCUUGUUUUUCCUUCGCAUUGAUAAUUUGUCAUAGCUACAUUUUUUUCCUUCUUUCUUCACAUUGUUUCAAAAGUGCUUUAAUUGAUAGAAAGAAUGUGAAUUGAUUUGAAUUUGUUGUGUAAGUUUUUGGUUACUGCAUCUUUCCCUUCAUUGGGUGCAGCAUUUGUAGAUGGCCGAAAGGGAUUUCCGAGAGUUCUAUUGAUUAAAUAAGUCAUUGUAAUGGUCUGACCUUUUUUGAUUCUUGGGAAGUGGUAUUUUUGGCUAUUAUCUUUGCUGUUACUGUUUCUUAGUCAUCUUGAUUGCUGACCUGGUUUUAGUCACCAGAGAAGCAGAAUACUUGUUGAGUCAUCUUUAUUUGAAU